UACGAAGGGGGCUAGCGUUGCUCGGAAUUACUGGGCGUAAAGGGCGCGUAGGCGGAUACUUAAGUCGGGGGGUGAAAGCCCGGGGCUCAACCCCGGAACUGCCCUCGAAACUAGGUAGCUAGAAUCUUGGAGAGGCGAGUGGAAUUCCGAGUGUAGAGGUGAAAUUCGUAGAUAUUCGGAAGAACACCAGUGGCGAAGGCGACUCGCUGGACAAGUAUUGACGCUGAGGUGCGAAAGCGUGGGGAGCAAACAGG
rnacentral:rRNA from 1 species